AGUUCAUAAUUUAGACAUGCUUACCACCCCUGUUCUAGUUAGCUAAUAAAAGAAGCUUUGCACUAAAUAACUGAGGGGACACAGAAUAGAGAUACAUAGCAAAUAUUUGCCAAGUGGCCCUGAAGUGGCUUCCCAGAUGGCACGUUCUGGGGAAUAAAGAAGAUACGACAGCCCCAUGGGUAUCAAUAUGACAUCUGAUGGUCCUCCUGCGACCCUCUGUGUACAGGGGUGGGCAGUCAAUGGGAAUUCGUUUUACCAUGGCAGUGCUCUUAUAUAGGCUAGAAAAAAUAUAUACGCAGAAAGAGGGAGAGAGACAUAUCUCACGUAACCCAACCUGUGGCUCCCGUAAGGCUCUCCACUAAAGGAAGUUGUGAUGAUUGAAAUUCAUCACACCCUGUGAAUUCUCCUGGGUCAGGAAACACUGGCAUUGGCAGAAUCUGAACUUAAUAGUAUUUGCAAAGUUACUCUUAUGUCAGAACAUGUUUGCCCAACCAUGAUCGUCUCCUCCCUCUUUAUCUAUAAACACAUAUACACUGUAGAUAUUUAUAGACUAAUAGGUAUAUGAAAUCAUUUAUGCAAGUUGUAAUUGACUGUGUAAUUAUUGAAUAAACAGCGGAUGAAAGGAAAUGUGAGGUUCUGAAGCUUUAAUUCACGUUUUAUCUUUUAUUCUUUCAACUGUUUAUUUACUUGUCUACAUUCUCCUCUCUGCUGAUUAUUUUCUGGGCAUGCAUUUUCCCUUGGGCAACAUCAGAUGAGAACAUCAUUUCAUUUGCAUCGCAGGGGAGACGGAGAGACAAACAGAAAGCAGAGAGACAAACAGAAAAUCAGAGGCAGCAUCCUGCUUGGACACCUCCAAGAAUUCAACUGCCUUCAACAAAUUCUAUCAAAUCCCUACUGUGUGCCAGGUGCUAGGAUACGAGGAGGACUUGUCAUCAAUGCUGGAUUGCCCAGUGUGCAGACGAGACCCUCACUUACAAGUCCAGAAAGCAUGGCUGAGAGAGAGCAGAAUGUUCUGGGCACAAAGAACAGCAGGGAGGUUGUCCUGAGGCAACACCCAGUUUGGUGCGUCUGAGGGACUGAAAAGUGCCCACUGCUUCAGUGAAGCUGAAAGGGUCCUGAGACAGUGGGGAUUAUUAUUCAGAAAAUGAGCCUCCUCGACUCCUGCUUUGGGUGGAAUACACUUCCCUGCACCACGGACGUUGGACUCGGCCGCGUGACUUUGUUGGCUAAUGGACCGUUAGCGAGUGUGAGUCUGGCAGGCCUUGUGUGUUUGCAUCUCAGCUCGUGCUCAUUCGCAUUUCCAACAUCGCCACGAGGGGUGUAUAUGCCCGUGUAUCCAAGGAGGAUGCACACGCCCGGAGCAGACUGCAUGUGCCCCACUACUGCGAGCCCAGCCUAGAGCAGUCUCAAUCAUCUGAACACCUACCAACUUGCAGAUGUUUGUGUGAGAUUAAAUAAUUCCUGUUUUAAGCCAAUGAGCUGGGGGAUGAUUUGUUACAUGGCAUCAUUAUGGCAAUAGUUGACUGAUGUAGGCCCCGUAGUAUUUCUAGGUGUUAAUCCGGCCACGGCCAGACCAGUACAGUUACUAAAUUGCAGGGGGUGGGGGCCGGGGAAGCAUAUGUAAUUUUAAAAGAUCCUUCAAAAACUUGUCUUCCUGCUUUGACUUUGUUAUGUAAAUCAAAGUCAAUUAUAGCCUUUCAGGCACUAAAUGAAAUUUGAUGGCCAUAAGGCUUCAAUGAAGCGGCAUAUGGUUAAAGAAUAAAAAAGGUCUAAGGUACUCAUUUAUUUAUCCAGCACUAGAUAAAGCCUUCAUCCACAAAGACUUUAUCCAGAAAAAUGGUUCGCUCAUUAAAGAGACGCUCGUGGGUUCUUUUGUACGACACCUUGUAGUUACAGUGUUGAGUCAAGGGCUUACCCUAGGCCAAGCACGGUUCCUAGUGCUUUGCCUACAUCAGCUUCUUUGACCCUCAAAAUUUAAUGUUGUAGUCACUGUUGAUUAUCUCCAACUGACAGAUAAGAAAAGUGAGGGACCAAGAGAAUAACGACUUAUCCAAGCUCCAUGACUUAGGACUUAAUAAGAAGACAAACCAAUCUUUACAAACCACGGCAGGACCGGGAUGGAAAAAAACAAAAACAACAACAAAAAACACACACACACCAAAUGGGGAAGUCUGGUUAAGAACAACAGAGAGGACCUGUUUUAGACAGGAGACCAGAGAAGGCUUCUCUAGUUAGGUGAAGUUGUCUGAGAGAUGAAAAUGAUCACACACAAAAAAAUGGCUGGGAGAGAGAAGAAUGUUCUGGGGACAAACAACAGCAGGGAGGUUCUCCUGAGGCAGCACCCAGUUUGGUGCGUCUGAGGGACUGAAAGGUGCCCACUGCUUCAGUGAAGCUGAAAGGGCAUCAAGCUAGAAUAAUAAGCGGGAAAGACAUAACAGCGCCCCCCGUCAUGGAGCUUCCAGUCUGGAAGAAGAAGAAAGUUUUUGUCCUGUGUCUGAUGCCUACUCACCGCAGGACCCUGAAGUCAAGUUUCCCUGUCCCAGAUAAUAUGCAUUAUCUCAUCGAAUCCUCAAGAUAGCCCCCUUCCUCUCACCCACACCCACCCUGCAGCCCUCCCCAGGCUCCCUUGCAACUUGGCAACGUGACACAAUUCAGACCAGCGACGCACAGGCAGGAGAUCGCUGAGCAGAUCCGCUGUCUUCAGAAGGACGCGCUGUCUGGAGAGGGCUGCGAGUUAUCCAUCCUGCGAAUGUCAGGAAGGGCCGAGGGAGCAGCUGAGCUCUGACAUUCUUACGCCAUCGAAACACAAUAGUAACUGCCUGCCUUUUAAGGGAGAGAAAAAAAAUAACCUGUUCGUUGAGGUCUCUGUUGGGUUAUCGUUGGCAGUUGCUACUUACGGCUAAGAGCGUUCCCGACCGACUUAAUGAAGUCGGAGGAGAGAGCCAAGGUCACAAAGCCAAUGAAUGGAGCAAAUCAGAAAUCAAAACCGCAUCUUCUGGACCCCCAGAUCUGUAUCUUAAUCAUGAUGCUAUGUUGUCCUCAUGUUUCCACAAGUAAGAAGAAGAAAACAAAGCAAAACAAAAACCAGGAUAGAAAACGUAUUUGUCUGGUUUCCCUGAUUGUAUCCAAACAGCGUAACAAGCUAUUUGAUAUGGCCUCAAACCACGGGACAUUACAUCUACAUUCCAAUUUUAACAAAGACUUAACUGCAAAUUUGGGGGAGGUGGUGAAAAGGACUAAGGAAUUCCUUAAUGUUGAUGAUGUUGUUGGAAACGUGCUAACCUUGAAUACAUCUUUGAGAGGAGUUGAAACAGAUAGACCCCAUUCCUUGAGGGUCCCUGCAGCCUUAUAUUUACGGGGCACUUACCGUGGGCCUCAUGAUUUGGUUCCGCAGUCUCACCUAGUCCCUCUGUCACCCAGCAAGCUGAGCCCAUGCACCCCAUUUCACAGCUCAGAGAGGUUCAGUAGCUUGGGCAGGGUGAUUCAGCUCGUGCUUAGGCUUAGGACUGAACUCUGGUCUGCCAGUCCAGAGCUGGACUAGAGAGGGAGUAGCAAACUGUGUCCACAUGUGAUGGUAGGAUAAGUGAUCCUGGAUAUGGCAGCAACUAUGACAGUCUAUACAGGAAGGAAUAAAAUUCGGGGGGCGCCUGGGUGGCUCAGUCGGUUGAGCAUCCGACUUUGGCUCAGGUCAUGAUCUCACGGUCCGUGAGUUCGAGCCCCGCAUGGGGCUCUGUGCUGAUGGCUCGGAGCCUGGAGCCUGCUUCCGAUUCUGUGUCUCUCUCUCUCUCUCUCUCUCUCUGCCCCUCCCCUGCUCGUGCUCUCUCAAAAAUGAAUAAAAACAUUAAAAAAAAAAAGAAAAGACUAAGGUUUGGCAAAUGUUCUGGUGGAGGAUCGGAGUGGAAUAAACACAGGUCGGUUCCUGCUCCUGCCCCACCUGGCUGUGACGUUAGGUGAAUCUCUCCGUCUCUCAGAGCCUUUUUCUUCUGCUGCAAAAUGAAUGUCAUACUGACACCAGCCUUGCAGUGGUUCUGAAGACUCAGGGGGGCAGAGCCACUGGACUCCAGGCAGGUGGUGCAGCCAGUCCUCAAAAAAUAUUAACGGUUAGCAUCUUGGUUACCGUUCCACGCUUCGUCUACGGGGAAGAGAGCGCGUCUUUGUGUUGAGCUCGGUAUGUCUCCGCAACAAUUAUGUACACUCUUCGUGCUGGAAGAAGAAACGGAGUCAUCCAGAGAGCGAAUAAUCCCUGCGAAAGCAAUGUCCCGAAUUUUGGCAAAAGCAAUCUGCCGGUCUUCCUUACCCGUGGCAAUACUACAAACGCAAAGAGAGCACAGUCAGGGCGGUGGGGGGUGGGGGGAGGAACAGGAGGGUCUUGCUGCCCUGGCUUGCAGCCUCCUCUUGCCCCCCUCACCCUACCCCUGCCACUUCAUUCUCUCUUGUCCUCAUCGACCUGGGUGUCCCUUCUCAGUCUUUUUCUCCGGGUACACCAGUACUUGUUCUGUUUUAAGAUAGAUCCCCGACCUCUCCCCUCAAAAGCAGGUUCCUGGUUUAGAGGAGAAAGAGAAACACAAGUGGGGAUUUCCCAUUUUCCCAGAAAGACGCCGGAAAAAGUGGCAGGCAGUGCUCUCACGUGGCUCCCAGUGGUCCCCGCUUCCUGGUAUCCAUGUUCCUGGGGGGUAAUGCCCUCCCCUCAAGUGAGGGCUGGCCUCCUGACUUCCUAACACAUAGAAUACUCAAAGAUGACGGGACGUCACUUCCAUGGUUGGGUCGCAAAGGACUGUGACCUCCAUCUUGCCAGUAGUCUCUCUCUACUGCCUUCUCAGCUCACUUACUCCGAUGAAGCAAGUUGCCAUGUUGGAAAGCCUACGGGUAAGGAAAUGCCCUUGGCCUUUGGCCAACAGCAAAGAAAGACCUGAAAUUCUCAAUGCAAGAACUCUUGAGGAACCAAAUCUUACCAAGAGCCACAUGAGCUUGGACGCACCAGCUGAGCCUUCAGAUGAGACCCCAGCCUGGACUCACACCUUGAAUGCAGACUUGCAAGAGACCCAGCUGAGCAGAUUCUGACCCACAGAAACUGAGUGUCCUGUUACGAGUUGCUGUAUCUUUGUGCGUGUGGAUAAUUCGUUACACAGUAACAGAUAAUUAAUAAACUAAUACAAACCCACUGUGUUAGUCAAUAAUGAAUAGAGAGGAAGAAAGGAAUGAGCCGGAUGAGGGUGUGGCCUGUCCGGAUUCUGGCCGUCUUCUGCCACCCAAUACACAGGUGCUGUUAGGAAAGGCCCUUCUCUUACCUUAAUUUCUUCUUCUGCCAAACCAGAGCGUGGACUUCAGGACUGUAACUUUUCUGCAGUUUUGCUCGUUAAAAAUCUAAUGACGUCCUG